rnacentral:rRNA from 1 species
AACGAACGCUGGCGGCAUGCUUAACACAUGCAAGUGGAACGAGACCUUCGGGUCUGGUGGCGCAGGGGUGGUUAACGGGGGGGAACUGGCCCUUAGGUUGGGAAUAACUCCCCGAAAGGGGUGCUAAAACGGGAUAAGUCUUCGGGACCAAAGAUUUAUCGCCUUUGGUUGGGCCCGCGUUGGAUUAGCUAGUUGGUAGGGUAAAGGCCUACCAAGGCGACGAUCCAUAGCUGGUCUGAGAGGAUGAUCAGCCACACUGGGACUGAGACACGGCCCAGACUCCUACGGGAGGCAGCAGUGGGGAAUAUUGGACAAUGGGCGAAAGCCUGAUCCAGCAAUGCCGCGUGAGUGAUGAAGGCCUUAGGGUUGUAAAGCUCUUUUACCCGGGAUGAUAAUGACAGUACCGGGAGAAUAAGCUCCGGCUAACUCCGU